rnacentral:lncRNA from 1 species
AUGAAACUUUCAUUAAAGUUUGAAGAAAAAGAGCAGCGUUGCCAAAGUAAGGAAAUGGAAGUGUUAAGAAACUUGCAUGAAAGUGCUGCUCCUCCUGAUGACAGUGAUGGUUGUGGACUGAAUCAGCAGAGAAAGAGUGGGGACCUUGACAACCAGCAAUCUGCCACUAAGAAGAAUGAAGAAUAUUAUUUCUGCCCUGCCUUGCAUAUAAAGGAAACAAAAAAUGAAAAUGAAAAAGUGACUUCCAUGGAGUAUGGGAUUAGACCAGUGAUAGAGAAUGGCUUUUCACUCACUAGAAGUCUACUGCAAGUGAUUUAUGACAACAAUCUGAGUGAGCUCGAUCGUCUUAAAAGGGAACAGUUAAGAAGAAAAGAAAAGCAAUAUCAUAAAGAAGUAGUAGUGAAACAACUUGAAGUGACACAUAGAACACUAGAAUUGGAUGCGAGGACUUCAAAAAACAAUUUGACCCAGUUCCAAGAAUCAGAAGAUGAACAAAAGGAGUUGGUACAAAACACUGAGAAAAUUCAAGAUCAUCUGGAAAAGCAUGAUCAGGAAAAUCAUGAGUUGAAAGAUACAAUACUAAAGCAAGCAAGGGAAAUUAAAAAUCUUCAGGAAAUCCUUUUCAGACUAAGUUCAGUAGAUAUGAAACACCUGCAGCAGCAACAGGAUGACAUUGAGAAAAGGCAAUGUAAAUCGGAGGCAUCGCUGAGAGAGAUGGCACAGUUUUACCUUAAGUUAAACAGCAAGAUGCAGGAUAUAAUGAACAAGUUAGAUGAAAUCAUCAGAAAAUUCCAGGUAUCAGAAAAUCUACACCAAGGAGUGGUAGAAAAUGUAAAGAAGACACAAGAUUAUCUAGAACACUACAAUUCAAGGCUUCAGUCUGAAAUUUUGGAAAUGAAAGAUAUCGUCAAACUGCAUGCUGGCAGUAUUGAAGAGCUGCAGAAAAAUCUGAUAAGACCAAGUUCAUUCCAGGAAGCAGCAGCACUACACCAAGAAGAGGUACAAAAUGCAAGGAAGUUACAAGAUCACCUUGAACACUAUAAUGCAAGGCUUAAAUAUGAAAAUUCACUAUUAAAAGAUACCAUCAAAGUUCAGGCAAACAGAAUUGAAGAGCAACAGAAGUACCUGAUAAGACCAAGUUCAGUUUCACCGGAUAAUGUAAGAAGAUGUUGUAUGAACUCAGAAACUGAAAUCCAGAAAUUGAAGAAGGAAUUAAGUGACCUCAGGAGACAAUUUAAAGAUGAACAGCAACACAUAAUGCUGCUUGCUGAGUUAAAUCAAGCUCUGCAGGACAAACUGGAUGAAGAGAUGAAGAAAAAUGGUGAUUUAGGAGACAAGAUAACUCAGUAA